UGCAAUAGUAAAUGCAAUUAGUACGAGAGAAACCGUUCAUUCGGGUAAUUGGUAUUUGGGCCUGCCUGAGCAGGCAAUGGCCCGAAGCUGUCAUCCGUUGGGUGCUGCGUGACCGAGCUCUAAAGUG
rnacentral:ncRNA from 1 species